rnacentral:lncRNA from 1 species
AUGUUCGUUUAUUGCCUCCAGCUAGUUAAAAAUCAAUUCCCAAGUGAUAGCUUCCAAAGGGAAAGAUACACAUGUACUCCAGGAAAACACAAAUUACUUUUCACCUUUAGAUACGAAACAGGUCUCCUGCAGCUCCGGGUUCUGAUUUAUCCGCUGUCACAUCCGAAGCCCAUCCCCGCAGUCCCUUCCUGCACGUCAGGCUUCGCUGUUCGGAUCACGUCUAAGUUUUCAAGGAAUUUGGCCGACUCAGCCUCAAUAUGUAGCCCAGAGCUGUAUGUGGGGAGGUGUUCAGAGUUUUUGUUGAAUGAACAUAUGCAUCUAUUUUUUACAUCCUACUGCACCCCUGAGCAGAGAGCUUCCCCUCAAGCCCCUCAGCUCCGACUUCCCAGCCUGACAACUGUUCAGGGGAGCUCUUGCGAUGCUGCACAGGGGGCGACCAGAUUCUCAGGGCCCAAAACAGCUGCCAGGCAAGCCUCUCUCUGUUGGCUCUUCUCCGAGCUCCUGGACACUGGCAGGAUCCUUAUGAUCAUCAUCUCAGACAGAAGAACAAUCAAACACAAGAUCAUUUUGGAAGGGCCCGAAGAGUACAACAUGAUAAAGAGAUUCUGA